rnacentral:rRNA from 1 species
UGGGGAAUAUUGGACAAUGGGCGCAAGCCUGAUCCAGCCAUGCCGCGUGAGUGAUGAAGGCCCUAGGGUUGUAAAGCUCUUUCACCGGUGAAGAUAAUGACGGUAACCGGAGAAGAAGCCCCGGCUAACUUCGUGCCAGCAGCCGCGGUACUACGAAGGGGGCUAGCGUUGUUCGGAUUUACUGGGCGUAAAGCGCACGUAGGCGGACUUUUAAGUCAGGGGUGAAAUCCCGGGGCUCAACCCCGGAACUGCCUUUGAUACUGGAAGUCUUGAGUAUGGUAGAGGUGAGUGGAAUUCCGAGUGUAGAGGUGAAAUUCGUAGAUAUUCGGAGGAACACCAGUGGCGAAGGCGGCUCACUGGACCAUUACUGACGCUGAGGUGCGAAAGCGUGGGGAGCAAACAGG